GUGCCAGCAGCCGCGGUAAUACGGAGGGGGUUAGCGUUGUUCGGAAUUACUGGGCGUAAAGCGCGCGUAGGCGGACCAUCAAGUUGGGGGUGAAAUCCCGGGGCUCAACCCCGGAACUGCCUCCAAAACUGGUGGUCUGGAGUUCGAGAGAGGUGAGUGGAAUUCCGAGUGUAGAGGUGAAAUUCGUAGAUAUUCGGAGGAACACCAGUGGCGAAGGCGGCUCACUGGCUCGAUACUGACGCUGAGGUGCGAAAGUGUGGGGAGCAAACAGGAUUAGAUACCCUGGUAGUCCACGCCGUAAACGAUGUCUACUAGCCGUUGGGGAACUUGAUUCUUUAGUGGCGCAGCUAACGCACUAAGUAGACCGCCUGGGGAGUACGGCCGCAAGGUUAAAACUCAAAUGAAUUGACGGGGGCCCGCACAAGC
rnacentral:rRNA from 1 species